UAAAAUAAAGGCAAUUAACAAAUCAGUUUCAACUAAACGAGAAAGCCACUGAGAGAAAUCUUCGAACCCAAAGCCCCAGACUUUCAUAGAAUCUUCAGCCAUGGCCGUCCGAGAUAUUGCAUCGCAAUUUUGUUGGCUUCCCUGUUAAUCGAGCGUAGAGUGACCACCGAUUUCAUUUCCAUUAGUGUUCAAAUUUCUUCCCUGUUAAUCGAGCGUAGAGUGACCACCGAUUUCAGUUCCAUUAGUGUUCGAAUUUCUUCAGCAAUCCAGAAAAGCUCGGUAAGGUCCGAAUCUCUGUUUGCCACCAACGAUUCAGCUUCCAACGAGUCCGUUUCAAGGUAAAUAUUCUUCCCUUCUUGAUUUCCAGCCUUCGAAGGCUUACCAACAUAGCCAGAGCUUCCAAAUUCUUGAUACUGCAUUGAUUUUGGACAAAAAUAUUUCUUGCUUGUUGAAUUUCUCCUUUCCAAUUUCGAAUAACCCAUCCGAGACCACCCCUCUGUUGUGGAUCAAACCAAGAUGCAUCCAUGUUAAUCUUCCAAGAAUCUCGAGGAGGAGGCUGCCAACGAACAAGAAUAGAGAUCUAUUUGUUGACCCUUCUCCUCCUCCGUGAAGUGCCUUGCCACGUGCUUACUCCGUAAUUCUUCAGCCAUAUGUCAGAACAUUGACUAAGAAGCCCUCCCAAAUACCCUCCGACGGCACCCAAGGACCCCCCUUCAGCACCCACGGCUGCCACCUUCUACAAUUUCCAGAGAGAAAUUGAGAAUCUAUUUUAUUAAUUUUAUACUAAUUUAGGUUUAGUUGGCUUUUUUUAUUAUUGUUUUUUAAUAUCUUUUUUUCCCUCCCCUAGCCUCCCCUCAUCCAAUUCUUUUGACCUUCCCUACUCUAAACUCUAAUUUCUUCAACUGGGUUCAUCAGUUUCAUAUACUUCCAAAA